GAACCCUUGCGGAAAGGACUCAUUG
rnacentral:rRNA from 1 species